CAGUAGCCGCGGUAAUACGAAGGGUGCAAGCGUUACUCGGAAUUACUGGGCGUAAAGCGUGCGUAGGUGGUGGUUUAAGUCCGUUGUGAAAGCCCUGGGCUCAACCUGGGAAUUGCAGUGGAUACUGGAUCACUAGAGUGUGGUAGAGGAUAGUGGAAUUUCCGGUGUAGCAGUGAAAUGCGUAGAGAUCGGAAGGAACAUCUGUGGCGAAGGCGACUAUCUGGGCCAACACUGACACUGAGGCACGAAAGCGAGGGGAGCAAACAGGAUUAGAUACCCCCGUAGUCCCUGUCUCUUAUAC
rnacentral:rRNA from 1 species